CCCUUAGAUGUUCUGGGCAGCACGCGCGCUACAAUGGUCUUCGCAAACGGAUGCAUUCUCGAAGGAGAAUGCCAAUCUUGGAAUCUAUGCCUUGGUCGGGACAGUUGCUUGCAAUUUUUCGACUCUAACCAGGAAUUCCUUGUAAUCGUGAUUCAUCACAUCACGAUGAAUACGUCCCUGCCCUUUGUACACACCGCCCGUCGCUCCUACCGAUCGAAGAGUUAGGUGAAUUGUUUUGAUCGAUAAGAUUUGACUAUGGUCAACUCUCGUUGUGAAAUUCUGUGAAUCUGACUGUUUAGAGGAAGGAAAAGUCGUAACA
rnacentral:rRNA from 1 species